rnacentral:tRNA from 1 species
GCCUGGGUGGCUCAGUGGUUGAGCGUCUGCCUUUGGCUCAGGGCAUGAUCCCAGAGUCCUGGGAUCGAGUCCCACAUCAGGCU